rnacentral:rRNA from 1 species
AAAGCGUGCGCAGGCGGUUUUGUAAGUUUGUCGUGAAAUCCCCGGGCUCAACCUGGGAAUGGCGAUGAAGACUGCAAGGCUAGAGUUUGGCAGAGGGGGGUAGAAUUCCACGUGUAGCAGUGAAAUGCGUAGAUAUGUGGAGGAACACCGAUGGCGAAGGCAGCCCCCUGGGUCAAAACUGACGCUCAUGCACGAAAGCGUGGGGAGCAAACAGGAUUAGAUACCCGGGU